UACGUAGGGGGCGAGCGUUGUCCGGAGUUACUGGGCGUAAAGGGCAUGCAGGCGGUCGGGCGCGUUUUGUGUGACAGCGGAUGGCUUACCUAUCCGAGCAUACGAAAGACGGUUGGACUUGAGGACUCGAGAGGGACACGGAAUUCCGGGUGGAGUGGUGAAAUGCGUAGAGAUCCGGAGGAACACCGAAGGCGAAGGCAGUGUCCUGGCGAGUGACUGACGCUGAGGUGCGAAAGCCAGGGGAGCGAACGGG
rnacentral:rRNA from 1 species